rnacentral:rRNA from 1 species
AGUCACUGACAUUAGAUACCCCCGGUAGUCCCAGCCGUAAACUAUGCUCGCUAGGUGUCAGGCAUGGUGCGACCGUGUCUGGUGCCGCAGGGAAGCCGUGAAGCGAGCCACCUGGGAAGUACGGCCGCAAGGCUGAAACUUAAAGGAAUUGGCGGGGGAGCACAACAACGGGUGGAGCCUGCGGUUUAAUUGGACUCAACGCCGGACAACUCACCGGGGACGACAGCAAUAUGUAGGCCAGGCUGAAGACCUUGCCUGAAUCGCUG